GGGGUUUAAGUAAGGUAACGGCAAGGGUUGUGUGAUGUGGAUCAACUAGCAAGGUUGGGAAGAAGGAAGUUGGAUGUUUGUUUGGAAAAUGAUUAUCAGGUGUUGGAUGAGUUUUGGAAGAAAAGGGUGAGGUCAUAAGAUUGGAUUUAUUGAGGUUUCGGCUUGCAUUAUCCGAUCUACGAUAAACCUAAGUGUUGAUUGUAUAUUUAUUUCAGGGUUUUGAUUUGAGACAAGAGCUCUGAUUAGAGGACAUACAACACGAUCUAC